GUGCUCGUUCCGGCAGCACAUACACCAAAACUGGAACGAUACAGAGAAGAUUCGCAUAGCCCCCAGGGAAAGACAUGUGAGUAACCAGACCAGGUCAGUUCUUAA
ensembl:snRNA U6 U6 spliceosomal RNA